rnacentral:rRNA from 1 species
UACCAGCACCCCGAGUGGUCGGGACGAUUAUUGGGCCUAAAGCAUCCGUAGCCGGUUCUGCAAGUCUUCCGUUAAAUCCAUCUGCUUAACAGAUGGGCUGCAGAGGAUACUAUAGAGCUAGGAGGCGGGAGAGGCAAGCGGUACUUAGUGGGUAGGGGUAAAAUCCGUUGAUCCACUGAAGACCACCAGUGGCGAAGGCGGCUUGCCAGAACGCGCUCGACGGUGAGGGAUGAAAGCUGGGGGAGCAAACCGG